CCUAGGGACGCUCCAGUGGGGAAUAUUGCACAAUGGAGGAAACUCUGAUGCAGCAACGCCGCGUGGAGGAUGACACUUUUCGGAGCGUAAACUCCUUUUAUAUAGGAAGAAGAUGACGGUACUAUAUGAAUAAGCGCCGGCUAACUCCGUGCCAGCAGCCGCGGUAAUACGGAGGGCGCAAGCGUUACUCGGAAUCACUGGGCGUAAAGAGCGUGUAGGCGGAUUAAAAAGUCAGAAGUGAAAUCCUAUAGCUUAACUAUAGAACUGCUUCUGAAACUCUUAAUCUAGAAUAUGGGAGAGGUAGAUGGAAUUUCUGGUGUAGGGGUAAAAUCCGUAGAGAUCAGAAGGAAUACCGAUUGCGAAGGCGAUCUACUAGAACAUUAUUGACGCUGAGACGCGAAAGCGUGGGGAGCAAACAGGAUUAGAUACCCGUGUAGUC
rnacentral:rRNA from 1 species